UAUCAUUUUGUCAUCAUUUUAGGAACACAGUAUAUGGUCGACUGGAAAGAGUCCUUGGAGGCCGCUCAUGUGCUUCAUGUCAUUCUACAACACCCCCCUUCACCCAACACAGUACAAUCACGAAAUGGUAAAAAUAUAAGAUAUACAUACCUGCUUAUGUUGAUAUUGGAGACACCCACUACCCGAUGAAAUGUUUCACCCAAGUUUCUAAAUUUUCAUUCUCAACCAUCUUUUCAUGCCGGAACUAACUAAUUUGUUGGUGGAAAUGGUGGUGGAGGUAGUGGUUCAUCAAUGAAAGAAAGCAAUGGAAGCUCAAGGGGUGUAGAUGGAGGUGGAGGUGGAGGUGGAGGUGUGUAAGAUAUGAUUGAUGCUCUUGCCAGGUUCUUGACCCAUAUCCUACGACAUAUGGCUUCUGAGCAGAGAUAAUUUGGUAAAAGAAGAGUAUACCUAUCCUGAUAUGAGGAUGAUUAACCAAUAAUAGGUAGACACUCUUAAAUAACAAUAUUAACAUAAAAGUUUGGAAUUUGGAUAUAAUGCAAUAGAAGAAAUGUUAGAACCUGAAAGUGAAGCUCUAGCAAUCCUAAAUCCUUUUGCCAAUGCCAAAGUCAAGCUCUAGUUCCGAAAUGGUGUCUGCUCCGGAACUCAUUGUGUCCGGACCCGAAGUCUAGAUGGUGAAGAGAAUAUUAAGAGUGAAGGCAUUCUGGAACAGAUUUUGUGUCCGGAAUGUUUGUUGUUCCGGAAUCAAUAUUUUGUCUUUAUGCAUUUAAUUUAAUUUGUCUUUUGUUUGAUUUAAUUAGACAUAGGAAUUAAUCUUUUGUCAACUUGGAUAUUCAGAGUGUCAGAUGUAACUCUUUUUUCCAGUCCGAUGAGUGUAAUCGGUUAGUACCAUGUACUUCUUUCUCCUAUUUAUAGGAGCAUUCAAUGUUAAAUCAAUAGAUAGAUUG